AUUGAACGCUGGCGGCAGGCCUAACACAUGCAAGUCGAGCGAGCGGCGGACGGGUGAGUAAUGUCUGGGAAACUGCCUGUUGGAUGGGGAUAACUAGUGGAAACGGUAGCUAAUCACGCAUAACAUCAGAUGUGCCCAGACGGGGUUAGCUGGUAGGUGGGGUAACGGCCCACCUAGGCGACGAUCCCUAGCCGGUCUGAGAGGAUGACCAGCCACACUGGAACUGAGACACGGUCCAGACUCCUACGGGAGGCAGCAGUGGGGAAUAUUGCACAAUGGGCGCAAGCCUGAUGCAGCCAUGCCGCGUGUGUGAAGAAGGCCUUCGGGUUGUAAAGCACUUUCAGCGGGGAGGCGUUACCCGCAGAAGAAGCACCGGCUAACUCCGUGCCAGCAGCCGCGGUAAUUC
rnacentral:rRNA from 1 species